UGCCAGCCGCCGCGGUAAUACGGAGGGGGUUAGCGUUGUUCGGAAUUACUGGGCGUAAAGCGCGCGUAGGCGGGCUGUUAGGUCAGAGGUGAAAUCCCUGGGCUUAACCUGGGAACUGCAUUCGAUACUGCAUAACUAGAGUAUGGUAGAGGGAAGUGGAAUUUCCGGUGUAGCGGUGAAAUGCGUAGAUAUCGGAAGGAACACCAGUGGCGAAGGCGACUUCCUGGGCCAAUACUGACGCUGAGGUGCGAAAGCGUGGGGAGCAAACAGGAUUAGAUA
rnacentral:rRNA from 1 species